UUCAAUUUUAGCUUCCAGUUUUCCCCGAUCUUGAGCAAGAUGAGCUCCUAGACAAAACAGGAUAUUCAUACUACAGUGCUCGUUUUACAGAUGACUUCAAGAUGUAGAAUGUAGGGAAAUGGGGUGGAGGUGAAGGAAAUAGAUAAGCUGUAUUCGCAACCAACUCCCACAACUGCUGUUACAGAUCCCAUGUGCCACAGAACAUCUGUUUUUGCACAUCAACUCUACAACUAGAUAAGAGCCAGAAACCUUGUCAUGAUUACAAACACUCUACUGGAGUGUUUAUUUGAGAGGUCCCCUGGUUCACCAGAAAUACCUCUUCCAUCUAGAGCUGUUAGCUGGGGCAACGACUGAAGAACAGUUUCUCUAUAACCUUGAGGAGAAGACCACAUGUAAAUUGAAAUCAAUCUCCCAAGAUGUCUAGUGUAUUUCAGCUACCCUGUCAUCUUAAAUGAUUCACUGCAUUUUUAAUACAAGAAAAAAAGUAGCGAGUUAUCUACAAUUGUCUCAUCUUUCCCCAUCCAUGGCAUUCAACAGAUAACAUUACAAAACUAAAUGAACUUGGAAGCUGUCUGCCUGGUCCUGGCCUACACUGGGAUUUCCCAACCAUCAUCAGCACACUGCAGUUGCACAGACAACCUUUUAAUAUCAGGCUACUGCACAAAAACAGUUGUACCAAAUGGAAGGAUAGACAAACGUAAUGGAAAGGCCAGUUCUGAAACAGCUUAGCUAACUUCUUUGUCAGUGAAUGAAAAAAGGCAUUAUGAAACUCUAAAGCAUUGAAGUUAACUUUCUUUAAAUUGAUGGAAUUUGGGCUUCUAAAGAGUGUAGUUUUUAAAGUUAGUGUCACGUAAAUACUUGCUGAAGAAAACUACUGGAAUUUUCUGAGUUAUCCAGAUAACUUUAACUGUUACUGUUUCCAUAGUGCCUGAAUGCAUUUAUAAAACAUUUGCUUUUGAAAAUAUUACUUAAAACCUAAUUUGGCUUUCCUCAAUUACCUUUGAGGUUUCUUUCUAACUGUACAUAUAUUACACCUGUAUCAGUUAUAUGCUCAUUAUAUAGCUGAUAUUUUGUAUUAUUGUAUUAUUCGUACUGUUCUACUCUUUGUAAUGAAAUUAUCUUUGAGCUCUCCCAGAAGUAUCCAUGCUCUGCUUCUACAUAUUUGCCCCUCUAUAGAUUUUCCCCUCUAAUAUACACAAAUAAAGAAAACAAAAAAACCCCCACACCAAAACAGGAUGCUACAAUUUAACUUGUUUGAAAACAGAGUGUAACAUUUAAAUGGCAGGAAAAACCUACCCCCAAAGCAAAAGCUCUAAGCAACCCAACUGAAAGUGAUACAUCCACAUGCAAUCUCCAACUCGUCUCCACGCUGCCUACUAUGUGAAACCCCUGCCUGUUAUUUUGAUACAAAUGCUAA